rnacentral:rRNA from 1 species
AUUGAACGCUGGCGGCAGGCCUAACACAUGCAAGUCGAACGGCAGCGGGGAGUACUUGCUACUCUGCCGGCGAGUGGCGGACGGGUGAGUAAUGCCUGGGGAGCUGCCCAAUCGAGGGGGAUACCAGUUGGAAACGACUGCUAAUACCGCAUACGCCCUGAGGGGGAAAGGUGGGGAUCUUCGGACCUACCGCGAUUGGAUGCACCCAGGUGGGAUUAGCUGGUUGGUGAGGUAACGGCUCACCAAGGCGACGAUCUCUAGCUGGUCUGAGAGGAUGACCAGCCACACUGGAACUGAGACACGGUCCAGACUCCUACGGGAGGCAGCAGUGGGGAAUAUUGCACAAUGGGGGAAACCCUGAUGCAGCCAUGCCGCGUGUGUGAAGAAGGCC